UACAGAGGGUGCGAGCGUUAAUCGGAAUUACUGGGCGUAAAGGGCAUGUAGGUGGUCAGAUAAGUCUUAUGUGAAAUACCUGGGCUCAACCUGGGAACGGCAUAGGAUACUGUAGGACUAGAGUAUGAUAGAGGUAAGUGGAAUUUCUGGUGUAGCGGUGAAAUGCGUAGAUAUCAGAAGGAACAUCGGUGGCGAAGGCGGCUUACUGGAUUAAUACUGACACUGAGGUGCGAAAGCGUGGGGAGCAAACAGG
rnacentral:rRNA from 1 species